rnacentral:tRNA from 1 species
GCCGAAGUGGCGGAAUUGGUAGACGCACUGGACUCAAAAUCCAGCUCCGCUUUGCGGAGUGAGGGUUCGACUCCCUCCUUCGGCACCA